AGCUUUGAGCAGUGGCAGUAUCGUAGCCAAUGAAGUUUAUCCGAGGCGCGAUUAUUGCUAAUUAAACAAAUGGAGUCAUCUCAUUUGUGCUUUUAAAGUUACAUUCAUUGCCCCUGGUAACAGG
ensembl:snRNA U4 U4 spliceosomal RNA